GACGUAGGAGGCGAGCGUUAUCCGGAUUCACUGGGCGUAAAGCGCAUGUAGGCGGUUGGACAAGUCGUGUGUUAAAGCCCCUGGCUCAACUGGGGGAGGUCAUGCGAGACUGUGCGACUUGAGGGCAAGAGAGGCACGUGGAACUCCCGGUGUAGCGGUGGAAUGCGUAGAGAUCGGGAAGAACACCAGUGGCGAAGGCGACGUGCUGGGUUGCACCUGACGCUGAGAUGCGAAAGCGUGGGGAGCAAACAGG
rnacentral:rRNA from 1 species